AUGCUGCAGCUCUGCAUAGACCUGUUGGAUGCCUUUGGACAGGCAUCGGGCCUUCGAGUGAACCUAGCCAAAACCUCGGCCGUGCCCAUAAGGUGUUCAAAAGAUCAGUCAAGGCUCAUCGCAUCUUCCUUGGGAUGCACGAUUGGGGCCUUCCCAUGCAAAUAUCUGGGUCUCCCCUUGAGCAUCCGAAAGCUGUCAGCCCCGCAGCUGCACGACUUGGUUCAUCAGGUGGCACGCAUGCUGCCUCACUAGAAGGGGGCGAUGCUGCCCAUAAGCAGUCGGCUAACGCUCAUCAAAUUUGUCCUUUGUGCUAUCCCGAUACAUGCGAUGCUGGCGCUCAACAUGCCGCAGAAGACGAUCACGGCUAUUUCAAAGAUUUGUCGGGGCUUUCUCUGGUGCGGGAAAGCGGAGGCCAACGGUGGCCAGUGCAAGGUUGCUUGGAGGUUGGUCUGUGCGACCAAGUGGGCGGGAGGGCUCGGAAUUCCGGACCUCACAUGGCUUAACUACGCCCUCCAAGCCCGCUGGCCGUGGCUUCAACACACGGACGCCUCACGACCAUGGGUGGAGUUUCACAUUGAGGUUCCCCGCGAGGCUCGCCAGAUCUUUCAGGCCGCGACGAUCACGAGAAUUGGCAAUGGCAAGAAUGCGUUCUUCUGGGAGGACAGGUGGAUCCAGGGCAUGAGGGUGCAGGACCUCGUGCCAGGCCUGUACAUGCGGGUGCGAAAGAAGGUCCGAGCUGCUCGCACCGUCUGCGAGGUGAUACGUCUCCAACGUAUCUAUAAUUUUUUAUUGUUCCAUGCUAUAUUAUAUUCUGUUUUGGACAUUAUUGGGCUUUAUUAUACACUUUUAUAUUAUUUUUGGGACUAA
rnacentral:rRNA from 1 species